GACACUGUGCCCGAGUGGUCUAAGGGGAUUGACUUGAAAACAGUCGUUAUCAAUUGGUAUUUACCGCACAGGUUCAAAUCCUGUCAGUGUCG
rnacentral:tRNA from 1 species